rnacentral:tRNA from 1 species
AGAGAGUUGGCGGAGUGGUCGAUCGCGGCGGUCUUGAAAACCGUUGUACCGCAAGGUACCGGGGGUUCGAAUCCCUCACUCUCUG